GGCCGAAGAACGACGGGAGGAGCUCGCGGCGCGCGGCGGCUUGCUCGGCUUUUGGUCUAGGGCAGCAGGAGGUUCUAGGGCAUGGUUUUUACGGUGAAGAUAAAAAAACAACACGCGGGGUUGUUGCUAGCAGCUUUAUAGGAUCAGAUAAGCGCGGAAAGGAGAAACCCCGAGGAAACCGGGAUCGGAUCUCCUUCCGAUCGAGUCCGGAUUGAUUUCGUUCCGGGGAAGAAGAAAAGAGGAGGCUGACGGGUGGGGUCCGGCGGUCAGGGGCAGCAAGCAGAGAGGAGAGGCACGCUGCGGGCCUGGGCUGCGCGUGCGGGGUGAGGGGGGGUUCGGCUGGGGUUUUUCCUGUUCCUUUUUUUUAUUUUCUUUUCUGUUUUCUUUUCCAAAAUAAACCUUUUUCAAGUAACAUUUUGAAUGCAAAUAAAUUCAAGCCAGAGGCAAACAAUACAAAAUGAGAUCUUUGGCAUGAAUGCAUAAACAAGUUUCUAAUCUUAUGUUAAAUUUUAAUUUUGACAAAAAAUAUUUUAUUUACUGGAUUAAAUGCUCACCAAAAAUGCUUAAUUAAAUCAAAUUAAUUCCUAUUGAUUGAAAACAAAUUUUUGGGUGUUACAAACUCUACCCCCUUAAAAGAAUCUCGUCCUCG
rnacentral:lncRNA from 1 species